AGAGCAAAGUUGUGGAUCUCGUCAUUAUUUUUAAUCUCCUUGCAGAUUUCGUCAGUGCUCAGCAGCAUUUUCUGCCAGAGACAAAGCUGGGGACUUGGGGCCUGGGUGUAGCUCCCGCAGCCUUAAUUGCUGAGUGCGAAGCUCCUGUAGAGAGCCCAGCCUUUGGAGGAGCCCAGCCAUCCACCCUUCAGGAAGGGGCCGGCUCUGAGCUGCACAUCACUUUGUACAUUUCUUGUGAUUUGGCAGCAUACACCCAGGGAGCAGAAAUCACUCUAGACAUUGCAAAAACAUUUAAAGAGGAAAAGUGAAUGAAAAUGCUGCCACUGGUGGAGAAGAGAAGCUUGCUGCUUUCCACACCUAUUCCUGAAUAGCAAGAAAGAAGCCCUACCCAGAAGCUGGAGGGAAUCCAGAAGAUGUGGACAAACCCACAGCUUCUCCCUUGAGAGAGAGACAUGCUUAUCACUGAAUACCAAGAACCUACAACCAAGAUUACUUUAUCCAGC